rnacentral:rRNA from 1 species
UACGGAGGGUGCGAGCGUUAAUCGGAAUUACUGGGCGUAAAGGGUGCGUAGGUGGUUUAUUAAGUUAGCUGUGAAAUUCCUGGGCUUAACCUGGGCAGGUCAGCUAAGACUGGUAGACUCGAGUAUGGGAGAGGGUAGUGGAAUUUCCGGUAUAGCGGUGAAAUGCGUAGAGAUCGGAAGGAACACCAGUGGCGAAGGCGGCUACCUGGCCUAAUACUGACACUGAGGUGCGAAAGCGUGGGGAGCAAACAGG